ACAAGGGAAGACCUAGUGGCGAACGGGUGAGUAUCACGUGAGAAACCAACCCCGGUCUCUGGGAUAACAAAUGGAAACGUUUGCUAAUACCAAAUAACGUCGGAGAGUCACAUGACUUUCUGACGAAAGGAAUUCCGAUUCGAGAGGGUCUCGCGGCCUAUCAGCUUGUUGGCGGGGUAAUGGCCCACCAAGGCAACGACGGGUAGCUGGUCUGAGAGGAUGGUCAGCCACACUGGGACUGAGACACGGUCCAGACUCC
rnacentral:rRNA from 1 species